AACUACAAUUUGAACUUCCGGCCCGUGGAAAUUGACGUCACGACCAAUGGAGUUUAUGAUAUGUAUGGCCCCCUCUUGUGGACGGACAUAGACGUUUCAGUUUCAAGUUUUAUUUGUCACAAAUACAGUGAAAUGUUUAACUUGCAAGCCCUAACCAACAGUGCAGGAUUCAAUAUAAAAUAGUAUAACUAAUACAAAAUGUAGAAUACAAGAAAUAAGAGAGGAAGCUAUAUACAGGGUCAGUGCCAGUACCAAAUGUACAAUGUGAAGGGAUACUGGAGUAUUUGAGGUAGAUAUGUACAUGUACUGUAGGCAAGUGUUGCGAGAUAACUCAAUCCGUUGGAAGCAUAACUCAAUCCGUUGGAAGCAUAACUCAAUCCGUGAGACAAGCAUUUAUAUAAAAGACCACUCCGUAAGCCACGCCCCAGUGGGCAGAGCUAGGCAUGUUGCACUUAGACACGUUUUAAUACAAAAAGCCUCUACUUUUACAAUGCGUCUUCCACGUGGCAGGAUUAGAUACAGAUGGGUAAACAGAUAAGAUUUAAUAAGGUCCCAGCCCAUAUGGGGGUGGAGGGGAACAAGGCAGGCAGUUGAUGUACUGGCUAAACAAGCACAUAGAAGUGGGGAUGUUGAUGUCGUAGUUUCAAUGGGCAAGACAGAGGCAAAAAGCCUGAUAUGGACAGUGAUGGUGCAGAGAUGGCAGGAGCAGUGGAAUAGAGAUACUAAGGACAGGCAUUUAUUUCUAGUAAAGAGGAAAGCCGGGGAGGACAGCAGGAAGGGACAGAAGAGGAGGCUAUUUUUACAAGAAUAAGGGUGGGAUACAGCCAGUUGAAUAAGACCUUACAUGUGAUAGGAAAUCAUCCAACAGGAAAGUGUGAGUAUUGCCAGGAAACAGAGACUGUGGAGCAUGUAUUGCUACAGUGUGGGCUGUAUCAGAGGGAACGAGAGAGACUGAGAUCUAAUAUGAAGGAGAAGGGGAUACAGGAAAGUAAUUUAAAGAGUAUUUUGAGUAGAACGUCAUUGGAUAUAGUCUCAAAUAUUUUGUUAUCUUUUUUAAGAGUAACGGGAGCUGGCAGGUAGGAUUUCGUUUCUCGCCGUCUCUGGCCCACACUCCAGUACAGUAGGUGGCGGUAAUGCACCAUAACGUUGGAUACCAACGCUGAUAAACCCCACUGAAGAAGAAGAAUGGCUCUUCAGGGCAGAAGAGUCGAGUUGUGUAAGUUGUUCGCAUGAGGUUCCUUGAUUGGUGAAGUGUGUAGAGUUUAUCCAUAGUUUGGGGAAUGGAAAAUGGCAGAGAGUAGUGUGGAUGAAAUUGAGGAAAAGUUGGUGAAGCAACAGCUGUGCUGGAAUGCGAACAAAGUGUCAGUUCUGAUGACAUGGAGCGGGAGGAUGAGGGUCAAGGACUGGAAUGGCCGGUAGUGGAAAGACAUAGGAAGAAGAGGGAUCAUGAUACAGAAAGCAGUGGAGCGUCUAGUAAAGAAAGCAUAAAGAGGACCAAGGUAAGAAGCAAUAGUAGGGAUGUGUUGGAGUGGAAAAUGGUGAUAGUGUUUGAUGAGACCAAAGGGUCUCACUUACACACUAUCAGACUUACUAAUGCCAUAGAGAAUAUGUAUUGCUCUAUUGUGGUGUUGCCCAGCCAGUCUCCCCAGGUUAACAGCACCAUGGCAUGACUCCAAACCUUUUCUCCCAGGUACGUCAGGCAGGUACCUGUCUUAUUCGCCAUUCAGUGAAUGAGGAGAAUACAGGAAUCACAGUGAGAAGCAUAUGGGGUCCAGGGCAACAUAGGGCCACACUCCGCACUGAGUCCUCAGAAUCAAAUUCAGUGGUGAACUCACACUUCCAGCCAGCCGUAUCAACUAAGACCACCUGUCUACCAGCCACUUCACCCUGUCGUCUCACACUGUGCGCCAGUCUUUCAGUAUCAAACACCUUGCCCAGGAUGGUGUUCCCUGCCAUGCUCCUCCCAACACAGUUCGCACCCAGAAGCACAGCCCUCACCUCCACAUCAUGUUUACCUCCUCCUAUAAGGCAGACAAAAAGAUGGACAGACAAAGGGGAGAGAUGACAAUAUUUGUUUAUAGAGCAUUGAAUUUCACUAAUUGAUUAACGCCCACCCCCCACAGAAAACAUCCAUCCCAUAGAUUCCAAACCUAUUCCCAAUAUACACUCACCACCCACAGUUGCUCUGUUCUUCUUCAUCUUCAUUAGCCUCAGCAUCCCUCAGUUCUUCACAUCCUAUCUCUUCUGCAGCAACUUUACAAUCAUAUCAUUGUGAAUUUGAUAACAACCACUCUGUGCUACCAUCCUCUCUAUAUUUUGCAACAGUCAGUGACCUGAGUCACAUUCUCCCUGUUUCUGUUGUCUAUGAUAUGCUACCUGUUCUCACAGUUUUCUACAAGCCUUUGAAGGAUGCCUUCCUCACUUGAAAUGUGCUGCUCUAAUGUCGUGUCCACAAGCCAAUUCCCUCUGGUAAAGAGCACCAUGGUGUGUCUCCAUACCCUCUGCUCAAGGAGCUGGUUCAGGUUCUCCUCCACUGUGUCUGUGUGCAGUAUGUGCAAGGAAGCACAAGGAGGAAGGCAUGUGGGACACAGCAAGAGCAAUUUCCUGCUUGUCCUGUGCUGAGGUCACCGCCAACAAGUUAUUCCACCACCAGCCAGGUGUGUCUACCACAGUGGCCUGUCUGCCAGCAACAGCUGUCUGUCAGCUUACACACUGGGCAGUCCUCUUCGUUGUGUCAAACUCCUCCGCACCCAGGAUUGUGUUUCCUGACAAGUUUUUGCCAGAAUGCCCUUCCCCAACAGCACAAGUUGAAGGUCUGCCUGUGUGAUGGGGGAGAGAGAAAUAAAGAAGCACAAAGUAAAUGACUGUCCUGGGGGAGUUCAGAUGAACACCCAGGUCUUCUGGACCUGCUCUAUCGAGAAGCCCCUGACUGCGCUCUUCAAAACUCUUAUGCAUGCUGGAGCAUAAAAAGCUGUUGAAUUCUAGUUUUUCUUUACUUUCACAUACACUGUGUUGACAGAAACAUUGCUCAGAUCUUGUCCCCUGGACCUUGGAGGACUUUUGGUGUGGAUGAUGAUCAGGGCCUAUCAAAGCAAGGUUUCUCAAACAACUGUGGGGUGUUUGUUUUGAUGGACCUGUUUCCUACAGUUUUUACACUACAUACACAAUUCAUACAUCAAACUCCUGCAGAGCUGGAUGCUGAUGUGACAUGUGUCUUCUACAUCUUGAAAUAUAUUCCUGGUGGGGGGGUGGUAUUAUUAUUAUUUACUAUUAUCAUUAUUGUUGUUAUCAUAACUAUCAAACUUAACAACCUACUCUUUCUUAAUUUACAGUACGCUCUGUACAUUGCAAUGGAAGCACAGUGUGAUUUCACUGAGGUAUGUAUAAAUUAUGAAAUUCUCAUCACUAGUGGCGACUAGGCGAUGGUGGUGCCAACUUUCCCAUGCCGUAAGUCUUGAACAUAAUAAAAACUUUUCAUUUGUGUCCUUAAAAUCACUUCUUUCACUGUAGCCAGACUGACCUGAAUAUAUUUUCAUAUUGAAUGUAUGUAAUGUAUGUCAUUCCCUCACUAAGGUCUGAAGAAGACAGGUUGAAAGAUCGAGAAAGGUGGCGAAAACAAAACGCACUACAGGAUGAUGUAGAAGAUGUCCCCCCCCCCCAAGAAGUCACAGCAUGUCACAUCAGCAUCCAGCUCUGCAGGAUCAGACGAUACUGAAAACAAAACAUGACGAACUGGGAGCUGUGAACUGGGAAGCAGAUGUUCUUCUAAGGGACACCCUAGAUGCAGCAAGGUGGCGCGAACGCCAAACAUUUAAAGACACCAUUUCCCUCCCUAGUCUAAUUGGGAUGGACAGGGAAGACCGCAUUACAACCCUUAAAGAACUACGGUUGUAUGAUGGCCUGGAUGAAGAGGAAAAUAUUCUCCUCAAGGAACCAUUCGUGUUCUUGUUCCAGUUACAGAGAGAUUAUGAGAUGUUCUAUGUGGAGGCAGUUGACAACAAGAAAAUGACUGUCUGUCUCUUUUGAGGAGCAGGAGUGAAGCCAUUUUUGAGGAGUGGUCAAACCUUAUUUUUGUCUGCUGUGUUAAUUGUUUCAAUUGUUAAUUGUGUUGUUUAGUAAAGAUGACGUAGAAGUCA